rnacentral:rRNA from 1 species
UACGGAGGGAGCAAGCGUUACUCGGAAUUAUUGGGCGUAAAGGGCGCGUAGGCGGUUCGAUAAGUCUGAUGUGAAAUCCCAGGGCCUAACCCUGGAAUGGCAUGGGAUACUGUUGGAUUUGAGUUCCGGAGAGGAAGGCAGAAUUCCCGGUGUAGCGGUGAAAUGCGUAGAUAUCGGGAGGAAUACCAGUGGCGAAGGCGGCCUUCUGGACGGAUACUGACGCUGAGGCGCGAAAGCCAGGGGAGCAAACGGG